rnacentral:rRNA from 1 species
CCUACGGGUGGCAGCAGUGGGGGAUAUUGGACAAUGGGGGGAACCCUGAUCCAGCGACGCCGCGUGAGUGAAGAAGUAUUUCGGUAUGUAAAGCUCUAUCAGCAGGGAAGAAAAUGACGGUACCUGAGUAAGAAGCCCCGGCUAACUACGUGCCAGCAGCCGCGGUAAUACGUAGGGGGCAAGCGUUAUCCGGAUUUACUGGGUGUAAAGGGAGCGUAGACGGCAGUGCAAGUCUGGAGUGAAAGGCGGGGGCUCAACCCCCGGACUGCUCUGGAAACUGUACGGCUGGAGUGCAGGAGAGGUAAGUGGAAUUCCUAGUGUAGCGGUGAAAUGCGUAGAGAUUAGGAGGAACACCAGUGGCGAAGGCGGCUUACUGGACUGUAACUGACGUUGAGGCUCGAAAGCGUGGGGAGCGAACAGGAUUAGAUACCCCUGUAGUC